rnacentral:rRNA from 1 species
GACAGCAUGGGAGCUGCGGUCCCUGCUGUUACCGGCGGACGGGUGAGUAACACGUGGGUAACCUGCCUGUAAGACUGGGAUAACUCCGGGAAACCGGGGCUAAUACCGGAUGGUUGUUUGAACCGCAUGGUUCAGACAUAAAAGGUGGCUUCGGGUACCACUUACAGAUGGACCCGCGGCGCAUUAGCUAGUUGGUGAGGUAACGGCUCACCAAGGCGACGAUGCGUAGCCGACCUGAGAGGGUGAUCGGCCACACUGGGACUGAGACACGGCCCAGACUCCAACGGGAGGCAGCAGUAGGGAAUCUUCCGCAAUGGACGAAAGUCUGACGGAGCAACGCCGCGUGAGUGAUGAAGGUUUUCGGAUCGUAAAGCUCUGUUGUUAGGGAAGAACAAGUGCCGUUCAAAUAGGGCGGCACCUUGACGGUACCUAACCAGAAAGCCACGGCUAACUACGUGCCAGCAGCCGCGGUAAUACGUAGGUGGCAAGCGUUGUCCGGAAUUAUUGGGCGUAAAGGGCUCGCAGGCGGUUUCUUAAGUCUGAUGUGAAAGCCCCCGGCUCAACCGGGGAGGGUCAUUGGAAACUGGGGAACUUGAGUGCAGAAGAGGAGAGUGGAAUUCCACGUGUAGCGGUGAAAUGCGUAGAGAUGUGGAGGAACACCAGUGGCGAAGGCGACUCUCUGGUCUGUAACUGACGCUGAGGAGCGAAAGCGUGGGGAGCGAACAGGAUUAGAUACCCUGGUAGUCCACGCCGUAAACGAUGAGUGCUAAGUGUUAGGGGGUUUCCGCCCCUUAGUGCUGCAGCUAACGCAUUAAGCACUCCGCCUGGGGAGUACGGUCGCAAGACUGAAACUCAAAGGAAUUGACGGGGGCCCGCACAAGCGGUGGAGCAUGUGGUUUAAUUCGAAGCAACGCGAAGAACCUUACCAGGUCUUGACAUCCUCUGACAAUCCUAGAGAUAGGACGUCC